rnacentral:rRNA from 1 species
GGGUUGUGAGGUUAAGCGACUAAGCGUACACGGUGGAUGCCCUGGCAGUCAGAGGCGAUGAAGGRCGUGCUAAUCUGCGAUAAGCGCCGGUAAGGUGAUAUGAACCGUUAUAACCGGCGAUWYCCGAAUGGGGAAACCCAGUGUGAYUCGUCACACUAUCAUUAACUGAAUCCAUAGGUUAAUGAGGCGAACCGGGGGAACUGAAACAUCUAAGUACCCCGAGGAAAAGAAAUCAACCGAGAUUCCCCCAGUAGCGGCGAGCGAACGGGGAGGAGCCCAGAGCCUGAAUCAGCAUGUGUGUUAGUGGAAGCGUCUGGAAAGGCGCGCGAUACAGGGUGACAGCCCCGUACACAAAAGCGCAUGUGCUGUGAGCUCGAUGAGUAGGGCGGGACACGUGGUAUCCUGUCUGAAUAUGGGGGGACCAUCCUCCAAGGCUAAAUACUCCUGACUGACCGAUAGUGAACCAGUACCGUGAGGGAAAGGCGAAAAGAACCCCGGCGAGGGGAGUGAAAAAGAACCUGAAACCGUGUACGUACAAGCAGUGGGAGCACAGGUUUACCUGUGUGACUGCGUACCUUUUGUAUAAUGGGUCAGCGACUUAUAUUCUGUAGCAAGGUUAACCGWAUAGGGGAGCCGGAGGGAAACCGAGUCUUAAYYGGGCGUUAAGUUGCAGGGUAUAGACCCGAAACCCGGUGAUCUAGCCAUGGGCAGGUUGAAGGUUGGGUAACACUAACUGGAGGACCGAACCGACUAAUGUUGAAAAAUUAGCGGAUGACCUGUGGCUGGGGGUGAAAGGCCAAUCAAACCGGGAGAUAGCUGGUUCUCCCCGAAAGCUAUUUAGGUAGCGCCUCGUGAAUUCAUCUCCGGGGGUAGAGCACUGUUUCGGCUAGGGGGCCAUCCCGGCUU